rnacentral:lncRNA from 1 species
AUUUAGGACUAGUCUUUGAUUCAUAGAAAGGUUUACAGAGAUAAUGCCUCCACACUGUGAUGGCUACUCUUGGCUGUCAACUUGACGACAUCUGGAAUUGGCUAAAACUCCUCAAGUGGCUGGGUACAGCUGUGAGGGGUUUGUCCUAAUUAAAUCAUUUGAAGUGGGAAGACCCUCCUUUGAUCCCGAUCUUUUGGGGGGGAGAGAUUCACCUUAAAUCUGGACUCCUUCUUGUGGCAGACUAUUUAAAGGGUGUGGAAGAAGACAGUGUGUGCUCUUUGCCUGCUUGCUUUCACUCUCCCCGGCAAGUUAAUUCCAUCUCUGAGAUUCUGGUCUAUUCUCAGAAACGACUGACAAGCCUCAAGGACAGAACAAUUACUGGAUUCUUGGCUUUUUGUUAGUGGACAGGCAUUGGACUAGCUGGACCACAGUCUGUAUAAACAUAGAUACCUGCAGAUGUGAAAACUAGGACUCGGCUUCUUAGCAGCAGAGCAUCAUGGGAAAGAACCUCUGGGACUCUAGUCUCUUGGGUUCUCUGACUGGGUUCUUUGGAGGAAUCCCGUAACAGAGGCUAGCCCUGUUUCCAAUACCUCACGUGUUUCACUUGAGUAAAAGUCUUCAUUAUAAGUGAUGGAACUGAAGCAUGGCUGCAGACUCGGGAACGGGCCACACCUCGACCCCUGUUUGCAGCACUCCCGUGGCCAGGGUAGUGCGGGUGCUGAUCUUGGAGGUUGCUGGGUCUCAUGCUGAACUUCACUUCCCACUGGUUCCUCCACUUUGGCCUUUUCGGGGCAAGUUCUGCUUUAAUCCAGUCACUUACUCUACAAAUGCAUGGCGAUUACCUGCUACCCACGAGAGACCGGCGCGCCGCCAUGAAUCAGGCAGAGGGAGGCUGACAACGUCGGUCUGGAAAAGCGUUGUAAAGUUCUCCAGCAGAGGACUCACCAGUUACUAGCUUCAUCUCUUAGGUUUCCUUUCCUCCUCUCUUUCCCUGGUGUUUCCCCAACCUCAGCCAUAAGCCACAAAAGAAGCUGCAUUUCUCAAUGCUGAUAGAUGAAUUCAAGCCAGACACAAACUGGAUGAUUAGAACAUUUAUCAUCUCAUUCUCGGUGCUUGAAGUCUGAACUCAAGGUGUCCUGAAGGCUUCCCCCAACCCCUCGUUAAUUUAUUCCUUUGUUCAGUUUACAUCCCGGUCGCUGCCCCCUCUCCUCCCAGUGCCCCACCUCUAAGAAGGGGUAGGUCCCUCCUGGGGAACCAACACCCUGGCAACUCAAGUCACUACAGGACUGGUACACCCUCUCCUUCUGAGGCCAGACAACGCAGCGCAGUUACAGGAGCAGGAUCCACAGGCAGGCAAUAGAGUCAGGGUAAGCCCGGGUUCCAGGUGUUGGGGGACCCACAUGAAAAUCAAGCUGCACAUCUACUACAUAAAUUUGGGGAUGGAAGGUUGAGGGGGGCUAGAUCCAGUCUUUGU